GGGCCUGUAGUUCAAAGGAAGAACGCCUCCCUUGCACGGAGGAGGUUAGGGGUUCGAGUCCCCUCAGGUCCA
rnacentral:tRNA from 1 species